rnacentral:rRNA from 1 species
UCGUGGAUUGAUUUGUCAGGUUGAUUCCGGUAACGGACGAGACCCCAACCUACUAACUAGCUCUUGUUGAUCUCCAGCAAGCCAGCUUCUUAGAGGGACUCUCGGAAUGAAACCGAAGGAGGUGGGGCAAUAACA